CACAGCUUGAGGGGGCAGAGGCAGGGCAGAAGCGCGCUUGCUCUUACAGGCUUGAAUCUCUGUGUUCUGUCCUGAUGCUGUGCCAACCCCUACUCCGGGGGGCCCUGCCUCUUCCUGCGGCCACAGAACUACCUUCCUUUCCACUGACCACAGGAGCCGUUCAAUUCUUGGCCUCCUUCUGAUAUCGUUCUGAGGCUUUGCGAGCUCUGGGCAACGGAAGAAAGAUCCAGUGUUAACAUCUGUGUGGUAAUUUUCCAUGACUAUCUCAGAUGGCCGAAGACAUGACUGCUAUUUUCUGGAUCACGACAUCUUUCAGGCUUCAGACUGACCCCUCUGGACAAACAGGGCUUAGCUUCUGGAAAGAAGCAGGAUUUCCUCUUGAUCAACAAAGGAGAAGGCGACUCCCGAAGGGGCAAACCAAUUUCCACUCGGUCUCCACUGCCGCCUUCCUAUGAUCGACUUUUAAAGAGAGCAGGAGCUUUGGAACUCAUGGUUGGGAGGUGUUUCUACCGGAAUGCACACAGGUAUUGUCCCGGCAACCUGCACGCUGUUUAAAGUGAUAAACUGUAAUUGUUCAAAACUUGGCUCCCUCUCUUCCCUCAGUAAGAAGCAGAAGUCUGCCAAUUUGAACUUUAAUGGUCUCAGCUGUUUGGGAGUGGUGUAAUCACAGUGCUAGAUUCAUUUUGCAGCUGGACUAGUGAAUCCCAUUCAUUCAAAAACCAGCUUUACCUGGUUGACGCUGGGUUUCCUACAUCUGGGCUCACAUGGGCACGUUUUUACCUCUGGCUCUGCUUCAACCAAGGCAAUCUUUAAUCCUGGAAGAAGUCAUUGUUACUGUUUCUCUGGUUCUGCAACAGCCAUGCCUUCUGUCUGAGGUGCUCUCCCAGCAGAUGCGAAGGGGCCUUUGACUGGGAAGGUUCUCAUAUAGACAUGCAGGGUGU
rnacentral:lncRNA from 1 species